rnacentral:rRNA from 1 species
AUAUCAGUCAUGCAUAGCAUAUCAAUAAGCGGAGGAAAAGAAACUAACAAGGAUUCCCUUAGUAACGGCGAGUGAAGCGGGAAGAGCUCAAAUUUGAAAUCUUCAAGGUUUUACCUUGACGACUUGUAGUUUAAAGAAGUGGUUUCUGUUGGAGUUUUGGUAAAAGUUCUUUGGAAUAGGACAUCAUAGAGGGUGAGAAUCCCGUAUUUGACCAUUACUUUCAGCUUUGUGAUACACUUUCAAAGAGUCGGAUUGUUUGGGAAUGCAGUCCAAAAUGGGUGGUAAAUUUCAUCUAAAGCUAAAUAUUGGCGAGAGACCGAUAGCGAACAAGUACCUGUGAGGGAAAGAUGAAAAGAACUUUGAAAAGAGAGUUAAACAGUACGUGAAAUUGUCAAAAGGGAAGCGUUUGACACCAGUGUUGUUUUCUCGAAAAUCAAUUAAAAAGAGUUGGAUUUUGUGUUGUAUUGACUUUAUCAGGCUUUCUUCACUCUUUUCCAGCUUUUUUUAAUGCACUUUUCGUUUAACAAGUCAACAUCAGGUUUCUUUUGUUGUAAAAAGGUCAUUGGAAGGUGGCUUUCUCUUCGGAGAAAGUGUUUAUAGCCUUUGACUCAUGCAAUCGGAGAGACUGAGGUCUGCAGCGUAGAUCCUUCGGGGUUAGAUACAUUUGUGCUAAGUUAUAGCUUUUCAUAGACAACUUGUUGACUAUGUUUAGUCUUGUAGCUUACUCGCUUAUGCUAUUUUACCUACGCUUAGGAUGUUGAACUCUAUCACACACAG